UCCUGUGCUGACAUUUAUUUGCUACUUUGUUAAUCUUUAUUUUAGGUCAUUUUUGGUCACAACCGCAGGAACUGCUCAGUUCUCCUUUAGAACUGUAAUCAGAAACAAAGAGCUGCUGUCCAGUAUUCCUGUCCUGAUUAAAACACUUCCCCUCGCUGCAGACAGCACUCCUCAGAGCCUUGAACUGUGCAGUGACAGAGCAGGGACAGAGAGCUGCAGGAAGUCACAAAAUCUCUAGCUAUGCUUGGGACUGAUCAGAGUUCCCAAUGGGCUCACAAGCACACUCCCUUCAGCAGGACAGCACACGCACACAGGAGCCCUAAGCCCAUAACUGGGAAGGGCUGUUCCCGGUACCCCACAUUUUCUUGUGAGUCAUAUAAAUGCCAUCGAUAGCUUUGCUUAGUUUUUCAAGAGCAUAUCCUGACGAAACUGUGCUGAUUAGUCAGGGCUAUUUAGUACAGAGUGGGCACCCUGUGGAAGCUCUCUUCUAUGCUAGCCCAAGGCAGCUUCCACCCUCUCCAGGAGUCAUAACAAAGGCACUACUUUUAAGCUUCUUGGAAGAGGACUGUGGCUUUGGUAAAAACCCCAGGACGGACUGCGCUGCCUUAGCAGACUAACGUCCAGAGCAGACUCUAACGUGAAAAGUUCCUUUCCUCCCCAUUCUUCGACUUCGGUUUUGUGGCUUGUUUCUUUCCGGUAGAAACACAGUAAAGUCGGGGGCACCUCUGUGAGUGAAGAAUUAGAAAAACCCUCCCUGCCGCCAGAGGUCUUCCCUGCACACCCGCUGAUGAGCGGAUUCUCCUUAUCGGCCCUCCUUCAGGCUGCCUCGGACUCUCGGACUCCACCCACUGGACUCCCGCCAGACCCCUAAGCUCCUCCGCAGGGGGCCCCAGCAGUGCCUAAGGCUGAUCUCAGGAGGGAAUCGGUGGGCCCAGGUUGACUGUGAGAGCUUUGAGAUUCCCACAAAUCUCUAACACCUUUUUUCCUGAUAAAACAAGUAUAAAAUGAA